rfam:Ailuropoda melanoleuca scaffold3595_9, whole genome shotgun sequence.
GCCUGGCUGGCUCAGUUGGAGGAGCAUAUGACUCUUGAUCCUGGGGUCAUGAGUUCAAGCCCCAUGUUGGGUG